AACAGAAUUUUGAGACCAAAUAAUAUCAACAUGUAGUGAACCAUGGAAGAACAUUCCUUGUGGAUAUUCAGAAAAAAAUGUUUGGUGCUACUUGAGGCAAGAACAUACCUCUCAUGCUGAUCUAACGAUAGACUAAAUCUAAUCACACCAAAGCAGGAAAAAGAUCGGAUGUGGACUUCCGCAUGACUCCCGUCACUACGAGGAGGCUUCGCGGCACAUGAUCACUUUUGAGAGAUGGACGUGCGCUGUCACGGGCUUUUGAAAUAUUUUGCUGGAAUUAUGGAAACAAAAUGCAUGUUAUAUUUCACAUGUAGAAAAAAAGAUAGCACGGGCAUAAUCGAGUAAUAAUUUAAGUCCACUUCACUUACAUUGUAAAUUGUUAACAAAAGGCAAUUUGACAAUGCAUACAUAUAGAGCGAUGAUCCAACUAAAAAUCUAUUACAAAUUAAUAUCUAUUUGAUGCGUUUAAGAAAUUCUCGCACAAUAUUAGCAAUGUUGUCUUUAGUUUCAUUUGCACAAUAUUUGAGCAAGUAUAAUAAAAAUGUCUUCCUCACCGGCCUUCGGGUCCGUCCACUUUCAUGCCAACCACGGUGGCCAACCUUGACCCAGGCUUCGACUUCUUUGCUUGCGCGAUGGCGGACGCCUCGCUUACUCGAAAACACCAUGAUGGACACCAUCCACCCUACCUUGCCUACCGGCAGCACUUUUCUUCCGGCACGGGCUCGCCGACCACCUCUCUCUCAGGAUCCUCUCCACAACUACACGGUGGCCGGAGCCAACCGUCCGCCAUGACUGCUCCACCACCACCCCGAGGCUCGACAUGAGUCAACUUUAAUCGUGUCAAACAUACAUUGUUUGGAUCCUCAUGCACAUUAAGCAACAUUCUUGAUUUUUUCUGCCUAUAAACCACUAUUAUUCUUCGUCUUUGUUCUCCUGCUCCUCUUCACUUACUAUCUCUACCGUCCCUAUCCAAGCCAGCCGCAAUCAUCAAUGUCCCAUCCGGCUCAAAAUCCCCAAACCUUCUACACCCAUACUAUGAAUUUUAAGGGACCUUUUGCCAUUAUUUUAUCCUUCAAAGUCUACAAACUAUAAUAUCAAUGUAGAAGUAAUUAGUGUAAACUCCUUUAUGCCCGCUCAUGGCCACUACGACCACAACUCUGUCGUCUCACCUACAUGAUGUGUGUCCACUCCCACAAUUUCCCCCUUACUCUGGCGAGGCCUCCAUUACUUUUGAAUAUUUUGUUCGGAUUAUUUGCCAUCAAGGAGAAAUUAGCAUAUUGCGCAUGAACAUAUGUGAUAAAAGUUCCUGCGAUUUGACACUACAGAGGUAGAGCAACAUGAAAAUAAAAGAGCAUGCUUCUAAUCUUCAAACUUCUUAGUUUAAAAAAAUGGCGAUAACCUUACAACAUUUUCCAGACUCUUGUCCAUACUGAAAAUGGUUCAUGCAUUAAGGAACACCACACAAAGUAUGGAAUCCAAAAAAACUAACAACAAGCGACAGUGACAUGGAUGGCUACCUUAUUGCUUUGGAAGUGGAUGGCAUGAGCCGUCGCUUAGAUGCACGAAACAGUCCCGACCAUGUACAGCUAGCCAAGAAACGUUGGGUCAAAACAAGGAGUUGGUACCUUGAGCAACGACGCCAUCGCGUUGACAUUUGCCCAACCCAACUGCUCAUGGCCAUCCUCGGCCACCACCUAUCCACCUGGACACACUCCUCUAGACCCAGGCGUUCUGAACGGCAUCCUCCCUGCUUCCCCAGCAUGAUGGCCGACUACCGUAACUUCUCUAGAGUGAAUCCUUCCAAAGGCGCUGCCGACAACAUCAUCCCUGUGGUGAUGCGUCUUCCUUCUUGUGCCUUUUGCUCCAUUGACCUCCUUCCUAUGAAAUUUCGGUAACAAGGUACAUUUCAGUAAUCAGUAAAAAAAUGCAGAUUUUAGUACAAGAGAAAUGAGCGUCUUGACAAAGGUUUAGUAGAAAUCAGAUUUCCGUACAACAAGAUAUUUUAGUACCUACUAAAAAGAAUAGUACAAGGGCAAUCAUCCGAACAAUAUCAUCAUAAGUAUGAACUAAACCUUUAGUCGCAGCAGGUACCUACUAAAUAGGAAGUGGAUGAUAUUCAUAUUACCCAUGUCAUCUCAAUAUCAUCAUAUGUUUAUUGUAGAAAAUCAUAAGCAUCAACACCACUACCUGGAAGACAUAUCUCCUAGCUUCUUUAUGAUUCAGAAUUCAACCCCAUGGAAGCUAAUAUGAAUAUCAUCUCAAGGAUCUAGAUAAAAUACCUGGAACAAAACUCAAUGAAGAACCAUAACAUCGAUCGAAACUAAACAUGAAAAUUUUGAACUCGCUGACUUUAUAUCAGUCUAGUAGUAAUAGUAGUACAAUCGCUGGUAGAAAAUGCAAUUCUCAACGUGCAUAUAGAUAUGCUAUUAUCUUGCUGCUAGAAAAUGUAGCGCUCAAGGUACAUAUAGAUAUGCCAUUGUCUUGCUGUGAAAUAGACUGCUUGGUUUGUUAGCUAGAUUAGGAAACCUAAGCUUUCCAACAAUUCCAAUCUGGAAGCACAAUCAGACCUCAUAGCCUUAAAGAUAAAUGAAAAGCAAUCAAACCAUUGGCGAGAACUUCUAAUUACGGCUCCGAGAGAACUCUAAUCCAUUUGUAAUUUGCCUAGAAAUAAAAUCAAUCAAACUGUAAUUUGCCUAGAAACAUGACCUCAAUGGCAUGCAUACCAUCACCUUUCAUAUCUUUUGUGGCAUUAAAUGAUUGUUGCAUUGUCUACGGAUGAGCCAAAAUUGCUAUGCCCCCAGUUCUACAAAUUAGAUGCACAAUAGAUUCCCCAUUCAGCCUAAUACCGCUGCAAAUGAACAAUAGAAAUCCACAUUAGUAAAUACAUCACGUCCCUGGUUAAGUAGUUAAUUUCAAGCCCAAAAAAUUAACACACUCCUGGCCAACAAUGUGCACGGUUAACCAUGAGCUACCGCAUCCUUGCCAAGUGUCCUCGUCCCACUCUUCCACUUGGCGUGAGGCCUCAACGGGACCUGCAUGAUCUAUCCAUCAGCGCAUUGACAGGAUUGUUACCAAAAUUCUUGUUCCUGUGAUCAAGCGGGAGGAGUACCGUGUAAAAUUCUGGCAUCCUGCUGUUGUGACAAGAAUGCAUCCUAUGACAAAAAUGUAUCCGACAUCCUCAAUCUCAAGCUAGAAAAAGACACGAGUCUCUUACUUACUAUGACAAAGUUACCAAUGUUUUUAUCAUUAAUUUAAGACGCAAAGCCUCAGGAUUGACAUGAGUAACAUGAAAGACCUUGGGAAAUAUGAAGAAAUUAGGCACACUUUUUUGUGCAUGAUGUGAAGUAGUAGUAAAAAAUCAAAAUGUCUCAUCUAGUGUUUAGUUCUGCAUACCAAGGUUAUAGUUAUACAAGUACAACGAUUAUUCAGACAAGAUCA
rnacentral:lncRNA from 1 species